CCUACGGGGUGCAGCAGUGGGGAAUAUUGCACAAUGAGCGCAAGCCUGAUGCAGCCAUGCCGCGUGUAUGAAGAAGGCCUUCGGGUUGUAAAGUACUUUCAGCGGGGAGGAAGGCGAUAAGGUUAAUAACCUUGUCGAUUGACGAUACCCGCAGAAGAAGCACCGGCUAACUCCGUGCCAGCAGCCGCGGUGAUACGGAGGGUGCAAGCGUUAAUCGGAAUUACUGGGCGUAAAGCGCACGCAGGCGGUCUGUCAAGUCGGAUGUGAAAUCCCCGGGCUCAACCUGGGAACUGCAUUCGAAACUGGCAGGCUAGAGUCUUGUAGAGGGGGGUAGAAUUCCAGGUGUAGCGGUGAAAUGCGUAGAGAUCUGGAGGAAUACCGGUGGCGAAGGCGGCCCCCUGGACAAAGACUGACGCUCAGGUGCGAAAGCGUGGGUAGCAAACAGGAUUAGAUACCCUCGUAGUC
rnacentral:rRNA from 1 species